GACGAACGCUGGCGGCGUGCUUAACACAUGCAAGUCGAGCGGAAAGGCCCUUCGGGGUACUCGAGCGGCGAACGGGUGAGUAACACGUGAGUAACCUGCCCUUGGCUUUGGAAUAACCCU
rnacentral:rRNA from 1 species